rnacentral:misc_RNA from 1 species
AACGCACAUUGCGCCCCUUGGUAUUCCGAGGGGCAUGCCUGUUCGAGCGUCAUUAUAACCCCUCAAGCUCAGCUUGGUGUUGGGGCCUGCCGCACGGGCAGCCCUUAAAAUCAGUGGCGGUGCCAUCUGGCUCUAAGCGUAGUAAUUCUUCUCGCUAUAGAGUCCCGGUGGAUGCUUGCCAUUAACCCCCAAUUUUCAAUGGUUGACCUCGGAUCAGGUAGGGAUACCCGCUGAACUUAA